CUCAGGAUGAACGCUAGCUACAGUGCUUAACACAUGCAAGUCGAGGGGCAUCAGGAAGAAAGCUUGCUUUCUUUGCUGGCGACCGGCGCACGGGUGAGUAACACGUAUCCAACCUGCCCUUUACUCGGGGAUAGCCUUUCGAAAGAAAGAUUAAUACCCGAUAGCAUAAUGAUUCCGCAUGGUUUCAUUAUUAAAGGAUUCCGGUAAAGGAUGGGGAUGCGUUCCAUUAGGUUGUUGGUGAGGUAACGGCUCACCAAGCCUUCGAUGGAUAGGGGUUCUGAGAGGAAGGUCCCCCACAUUGGAACUGAGACACGGUCCAAACUCCUACGGGAGGCAGCAGUGAGGAAUAUUGGUCAAUGGGCGUUAGCCUGAACCAGCCAAGUAGCGUGAAGGAUGAAGGCUCUAUGGGUCGUAAACUUCUUUUAUAUAAGAAUAAAGUGCAGUAUGUAUACUGUUUUGUAUGUAUUAUAUGAAUAAGGAUCGGCUAACUCCGUGCCAGCAGCCGCGGUAAUACGGAGGAUCCGAGCGUUAUCCGGAUUUAUUGGGUUUAAAGGGAGCGUAGGUGGACUGGUAAGUCAGUUGUGAAAGUUUGCGGCUCAACCGUAAAAUUGCAGUUGAUACUGUCAGUCUUGAGUACAGUAGAGGUGGGCGGAAUUCGUGGUGUAGCGGUGAAAUGCUUAGAUAUCACGAAGAACUCCGAUUGCGAAGGCAGCUCACUGGACUGCAACUGACACUGAUGCUC
rnacentral:rRNA from 1 species